AUGAGGGCCUUAUUCUGGAAUAUUAGAGGGUUCGGUGCUAGGGGGCGCCGUGACCAACUGAAAGAUUUGGUUCGUUCUAACUCUAUUGACUUUGCGGGGCUGGUUGAAACGUUUAAGGAUUCCUUUACCCCCAGUGAGCUUUCUGCUAUCGUGGGUAUGGAUAGAUUUCAGUGGCAAUCUUUACCGGCUUCGGGCCACUCUGGUGGGAUUCUGAUCGGUUCUAAUAAGGAUAUUUUUGACUUUGUUGCUUUUGAUCAUGGGUUUUAUUGGGCUAGUGUUGUUCUCUCGCAUAGAUCUAUGAAUGCCCUCUGUGAAUUUAUAGUUGUUUAUGGGCCCGCGGAUCACUCCUUUUCGCACCUUUUCCUUGAUGAACUUUCGAUCAAGCUUGAGUCCUGUUCUCUCCCGACGGUGAUUGGGGGAGACUUUAAUCUUUUG
rnacentral:rRNA from 1 species